UACGGAGGGGGCAAGCGUUGUUCGGAGUCACUGGGCGUAAAGGGCGCGUAGGCGGUGCAUCAAGUCAGGCGUGAAAGCCCCGGGCUUAACCUGGGAAUUGCGCUUGAUACUGAUGCGCUAGAGAGCGGGAGAGGAUGGCGGAAUUCCCAGUGUAGAGGUGAAAUUCGUAGAUAUGGGAAGAACACCGGUGGCGAAGGCGGCCAAUCUGGACCGUUUCUGACGCUGAGGCGCGAAAAGCGUGGGGAGCAAACAGG
rnacentral:rRNA from 1 species